rfam:Bacteroides caccae CAG:21 genomic scaffold, scf118
CCGUUAAAUAACAAAUGACAAUGAGAACUAUAUUAGUAAAUACAUAUUGGUGGUGGCGUCCGUUACAACUCCGACAGUCGUAAGGGAGCAGCGCUCGUAUGUAUAUACCUCAUUAAAGAUAUAACAGAUUUGAAAGAGCCCUGUC